UACGGGGGGGGCAAGCGUUGUUCGGAAUUACUGGGCGUAAAGGGGUAGUAGGCGGCCAACUAAGUCCGACGUGAAAUCCCAAGGCUUAACCUUGGAACUGCGUCGGAUACUGGAUGGCUUGAAUUCGGGAGAGGGAUGCAGAAUUCCAGGUGUAGCGGUGAAAUGCGUAGAUAUCUGGAGGAAUACCGGUGGCGAAGGCGGCAUCCUGGACCGACAUUGACGCUGAAUACCGAAAGCUAGGGGAGCAAACGGGAGUUAGAAA
rnacentral:rRNA from 1 species